rnacentral:misc_RNA from 1 species
UUUCCGUAGGUGAACCUGCGGAAGGAUCAUUGCUAAACAAAUCCUUUUUGAGGAUUUAACGAUCCCCAAAACACCCUUUUGUGAACUGUUGACCCGAUGACAUCAUGCUUUCGGGCUUGGUUUCAGGCCCAAAGGUGAUCGUCCAUUAGUCAAACUCCUUUACAUCAUUGAUGUCUGAAGUUAUUCUGUUCAGUGUUUACUGUGCAGAAGUUUUGUUGUCAUAACAAAAUACAACUUUCAACAAUGGAUCUCUUGGCUCUC